UACGAAGGGGGCUAGCGUUGCUCGGAAUUACUGGGCGUAAAGCGCACGUAGGCGGCUUGUUAAGUCAGGGGUGAAAUCCUGGAGCUCAACUCCAGAACUGCCUUUGAUACUGGCGAGCUUGAGUUCGGGAGAGGUGAGUGGAACUGCGAGUGUAGAGGUGAAAUUCGUAGAUAUUGGGAAGAACACCGGUGGCGAAGGCGGCCAACUGGACCACAACUGACGCUGAGGCGCGAAAGCGUGGGGAGCGAACAGG
rnacentral:rRNA from 1 species